rnacentral:rRNA from 1 species
GAUCAUGGCUCAGGAUGAACGCUAGCGGCAGGCUUAAUACAUGCAAGUCGUGGGGCAGCAGGUUUGUAGCAAUACAGAUGCUGGCGACCGGCAAACGGGUGCGGAACACGUACAGAACCUUCCUUUGAGCGGGGAAUAGCCCAGAGAAAUUUGGAUUAAUACCCCAUAGUAUAAUGAAGUGGCAUCACUUUAUUAUUAAAGAUUUAUCACUCGAAGAUGGCUGUGCGGCUGAUUAGGUAGUUGGCGGGGUAAAGGCCCACCAAGCCUGCGAUCAGUAACUGGUGUGAGAGCACGACCAGUCACACGGGCACUGCGACACGGGCCCGACUCCUACGGGAGGCAGCAGUAAGGAAUAUUGGUCAAUGGAGGCAACUCUGAACCAGCCAUGCCGCGUGGAGGAUGAAGGUCCUCUGGAUUGUAAACUUCUUUUAUAUGGGACGAAAAAAGGCUUUUCUAAGUCGUCUGACGGUACCAUAUGAAUAAGCACCGGCUAACUCCGUG